CCUACGGGAGGCAGCAGUGAGGAAUAUUGGGCAAUGGGCGCAAGCCUGACCCAGCAACGCCGCGUGGAGGAAUGAAGGCCCUCGGGUUGUAAACUCCUUUUACGGGGGAAGAGGAAGGACGGUACCCCGAGAAUAAGUCACGGCUAACUACGUGCCAGCAGCCGCGGUAAU
rnacentral:rRNA from 1 species